AUCGAUGAAGAACGAGCGAAAUGCGAUAAGUAAGUGAAUUGCAGAUUUUCAGGAAUCAUCGAAUCUUUGAACCCCGCGCUCCUUGGUAUUCCGAGGAGCAUGCCUGUUUGAGUGUCAUU
rnacentral:rRNA from 1 species